UACGGAGGGUGCAAGCGUUAUCCGGAUUCACUGGGUUUAAAGGGAGCGUAGGUGGCUUUGUAAGCUCAGUGGUGAAAUCAUUAGAGCUUAACUCUAAAACUGCCAUUGAUACUGCUUAGCUUGAAUCACGUCGAGGUGGAUGGAAUAUUACAUGUAGCGGUGAAAUGCUUAGAUAUGUAAUAGAACACCGAUUGCGAAGGCAGUUCACUAGGCGUGUAUUGACACUGAGGCUCGAAAGCGUGGGAUCAACAGG
rnacentral:rRNA from 1 species